rnacentral:rRNA from 1 species
CCUACGGGAGGCAGCAGUGGGGAAUAUUGGACAAUGGGCGAAAGCCUGAUCCAGCAAUGCCGCGUGAGUGAUGAAGGCCUUCGGGUUGUAAAGCUCUGUCGGGAGGGACGAACGGUCUCGGGUAACGCCGAGGAUUGACGGUACCUCCAAAGGAAGCACCGGCUAACUACGUGCCAGCAGCCGCGGUAAUACGUAGGGUGCAAGCGUUAAUCGGAAUUACUGGGCGUAAAGCGUGCGCAGGCGGUUUGCUAAGACAGUUGUGAAAUCCCCGGGCUUAACCUGGGAACUGCAAUUGUGACUGGCAAGCUAGAGUACGGCAGAGGGGGGUGGAAUUCCUGGUGUAGCAGUGAAAUGCGUAGAGAUCAGGAGGAACACCGAUGGCGAAGGCAGCCCCCUGGGCUAGUACUGACGCUCAUGCACGAAAGCGUGGGGAGCAAACAGGAUUAGAUACCCUGGUAGUCCACGCCCUAAACGAUGUCAAUUAGUUGUUGGUCCUUUAUUGGAUCAGUAACGAAGCUAACGCGUGAAAUUGACCGCCUGGGGAGUACGGUCGCAAGAUUAAAACUCAAAGGAAUUGACGG